UCUUCCUUAGUCUAGUGGUCAGGAUACCUGCUUGUCAUUUGACAAAACGCAGGUGGCCCGGGUUCAAUUCCCGGAGGGAGAG
rnacentral:tRNA from 1 species